CAGUCGCCACGGGAAUACAGAGGGUGCAAGCGUUAAUCGGAAUUACUGGGCGUAAAGCGCGCGUAGGUGGUUUGUUAAGUUGGAUGUGAAAUCCCCGGGCUCAACCUGGGAACUGCAUCCAAAACUGGCAAGCUAGAGUAUGGUAGAGGGUGGUGGAAUUUCCUGUGUAGCGGUGAAAUGCGUAGAUAUAGGAAGGAACACCAGUGGCGAAGGCGACCACCUGGACUGAUACUGACACUGAGGUGCGAAAGCGUGGGGAGCAAACAGGAUUAGAUACCCCUGUAGUCCCUGUCUCUUAUAC
rnacentral:rRNA from 1 species